AAUGCUUUGAUUUUCGUUUUAUAUUUAGAAUAACAAGAAAGUAAAAUCAGUAAGAGGCAGAAACGAAAAAAGGUCCGUUUUUUCAUUUUCUGAGACCGGAAGUGGUCAUCAGCAAGUGUGGAGCCAAACAGAGUACGGUGCAUAGACUGUACGUACAUUUUUUUUCGUGAGUUUUCAUGGUCAAAAUGAGAGAUCAGGUGGCCGAUCUUAAAAUAAAUCAAUAUUGAUUUUUUUUAUAGAGCGUUAAAGUUUUGCGAAGCCAGGGGGCGGGACUACUUAAUUGACAGUCCGGUCUGGAAUGAUUGACAGGUCCUAUGGAGGAGGCAGCAGAGACUCUGUUCUCCUCGUUUGGAUUAAUUCUGAUAUAAUAACUGUUGGUUUAUUUAUCGGUGGAGCAGCAGAACAUUUUCCACAGACAGUUUUCCUGCCCGUUGGCUUGUUUUAACCAGUUUUCUACCUUCGGCUGAUUCUACCAGCAGACACUGAAAGGACUCUAAUAGUUCGAGUGAAAGCAGCAGUUCCUCCUUAAGGUCAGAGAUUGCAGCAUCCGAGGGCCUCUUCAAAAGAAGACGUAGUCGAUGAAGGCGUUCUGGAGCAGGACCAGAAAGACCACAACCAAGCAGCCUUGAGAUCUUAGGCAGCAUCUCCCUCGGGUCCCUCUCUAUCUCCCCACACAUCCACCAACCACUGGAACACAUCUCCAAAGUUCUGCCGGGCCAGCUCAGCUUCCCCUCAGAAGAAGUUCCACCAGAUGAAGGAGCCUUUUGAGAGGCAGCUGACAUCGUGAUUGGACUGUACUUUGGUCUGUUCCAAUCCAGCUUCAGCUCCAGAGACGGCAGACGGGACGAGUCAAUGGAGGCCGGGUGGACGAAGGCAUGCAGCUGAGUACAAUCCAGAAAACAACAGAGGAGGAGUGCAGUGGCCCAGGGCCAGAACAAACAGAGUAGCAUCGUAUGUCUCUGAGAAAAUAUCAUAGUAUAGCCUUUGGUAUGAAAAAACGCCAUCAUAUACAUCGUAUAUUGUACAAAUAAGUCAAAGGAAAGAGACAUACAUUGUAGAAUUGUAGUAAUUGUGGGCUGACUGAUUUUCUGAUUAUCAGUAUUUUAUUUUUUACUGAUUUACGGUAAUAAAUACAUUUAAAAAUGGUGCUACUUUGGCUCUGAAUCUUUAUCUACCUGUGGUCGCUCUGUCUUCUGGAGUGAUUUGAUUGGUUAUACGUCACGAAUAAAACUCCUUUAACUUAACAUCUGUAAACAAAACAAAAACGUAUCAACAAAGUUUUCUAAUAAAGUUUGUGUUCUUGUAAGUUUAACUCCAAGAUUUUAAAUACUUUCAUUUACUGCAAAUGAAUAUCCAAAUGAAUAUACUCCAAAUGUCUCACUAAUAAUCAUUAUCAGCCUUAAAAACCCACAAAACACCCCUCUAUACUCGACCACACUUAGUACAGUCCGGUUCCCCCUUCUAUAAAUCUGCAUGGAAUCGUCCACUUCCUGUUUGUCAAAGUGGCCUUCUACCUGGACAGGUUUUGUUGGAGCUCAUGCAGCAAACAUUUUGGGUAACUGCACUUUAAUA